GAGAAUUUAAGGCUAUGUCAUAAUAAAAAUUCAACUCAAUUUCCAUAUGCAGGAGACUUACGGUGUUAAAACAAUACCGAUCUUGUGAAUUUUUCUCAAGUCUCCGCAAACUCGACCUCAAAUUAUUCUAUAGCCUAAAACUUUCAACAAAAACGCAUUUUUUUUAGAAAGAAAAUAAAAACAAAACAAAACAAAGAAC
rnacentral:lncRNA from 1 species